rnacentral:rRNA from 1 species
CUGAGACACGGUCCAAACUCCUACGGGAGGCAGCAGUGGGGAAUAUUGCACAAUGGGGGAAACCCUGAUGCAGCAACGCCGCGUGAAGGAAGAAGGUCUUCGGACCGUAAACUUUCUGUCCUAGAGGAAGAUAAUGACGGUACUCUUGGAGGAAGCCCCCGGCUAACUACGUGCCAGCAGCCGCGGUAAUACGUAGGGGGCAAGCGUUAUCCGGAAUUAUUGGGCGUAAAGAGUGCGUAGGUGGUUACCUAAGCAGGGGGUGAAAGGCACUGGCUUAACCAGUGUCAGCCCCCUGAACUGGGCUACUUGAGUGCAGGAGAGGAAAGUGGAAUUCCUAGUGUAGCGGUGAAAUGCGUAGAUAUUAGGAGGAACACCAGUGGCGAAGGCGACUUUCUGGACUGUUACUGACACUGAGGCACGAAAGUGUGGGGAGCAAACAGGAUUAGAUACCCUGGUAGUCCACACCGUAAACGAUGAGCACUAGGUGCCGGGGGAGCAAUUUCUCGGUGCCGCAGUUAACGCAUUAAGUGCUCCGCCUGGGGAGUACGUACGCAAGUAUGAAACUCAAAGGAAUUGACGGGGACCCGCACAAGCAGCGGAGCAUGUGGUUUAAUUCGAAGCAACGCGAAGAACCUUACCAGGUCUUGACAUCCCUCUGAAACUCCUGAUAACGAUGGAGCCUCCUUCGGGACAGAGGAGACAGGUGGUGCAUGGUUGUCGUCAGCUCGUGUCGUGAGAUGUUGGGUUAAGUCCCGCAACGAGCGCAACCCUUGCCGAUAGUUGCCAUCAUUAAGUUGGGCACUCUAUCGGGACUGCCGGGGACAACUCGGAGGAAGGUGGGGAUGACGUCAAAUCAUCAUGCCCCUUAUGAUCUGGGCUACACACGUGCUACAAUGGUCGGUACAAAAGGCAGCAAACCUGUGAGGGGGAGCAAAUCCCAAAAACCGAUCCCAGUUCGGACUGUAGGCUGCAACUCGCCUACACGAAGUCGGAGUUGCUAGUAAUCGUGGAUCAGAAUGCCACGGUGAAUGCGUUCCCGGGUCUUGUACACACCGCCCGUCACACCACGGAAGUUGGGGGUGCCCGAAGUUGGCAGGCAAAUAUGUUACCUAAGGCAAAACCGAUGACUGGGGUGAAGUCGU